CGCCCGUCACAUCAUGGGAGUUGGUUUUGCCCAAAGUGGCUGACUUAACCUCUGUUUUAUUACAGGGGAAGAGGUCACCAAGGUAAGGCCGAUGACUGGGAUG
rnacentral:rRNA from 1 species